rnacentral:misc_RNA from 1 species
UCACGGUUUGCACCGGCAGUCUUGUUAGAGUUCCCGACAUGACUCGCUGGCAACUAACAACAGGGGUUGCGCUCGUUAUAGGACUUAACCUGACACCUCACGGCACGAGCUGACGACAACCAUGCAGCACCUUGAAAGACGUCCGAAGAAGGGCAUGUUUCCACGCCUGUCGUCUCCCAUUUAAGCCUUGGUAAGGUUCCUCGCGUAUCAUCGAAUUAAACCACAUGCUCCACCGCUUGUGCGGGCCCCCGUCAAUUCCUUUGAGUUUCAAACUUGCGUUCGUACUCCCCAGGUGGGAUACUUAUCACUUUCGCUUAGCCACUGAGAUUGCUCCCAACAGCUAGUAUCCAUCGUUUACGGCGUGGACUAC